CUGAUUUGGGAGCUCCUGAUAUGAACAUUUUAUUAUGAAAGACUAGCAGGUUUAUUUAUUUAUUUAUUUUUGGUAGCUAUCAACUAAACAUUUUCUGAAAGUCUAUUUACAAAUGGAAUCCUUUAUAAAAUUCCAGUUCCAUGAGGUCCCAUUAAUCAUGCUUAUAUACAGAGGAAGAAGUAGGUUUCUGCUUAUGUCUUAUUGAAGUAUUAUUAAAUAUUUCUCUCCAAAUAUAUAUCGGGUUUCCUUUUUUUUUAAUGCCUACUAAAGACUCUAAGUCAUGUCUUAUGAAGGAAACCUCUGAAGAGCCAAGACAUUAUUCUUCAGCCUGCCUGGCUCCUCCACAUUUGAAAGAAAUAAAUUAGAUUGCACCAAUUAAAUGACUUUAAUAAACCUGUUGUUUUCAGUGCUGGAGUGGGAUGUGACUUUUGGAGCAGAACAGGAUAUAAAUUCCAUUUCUCUAGCAGAACUCACUGCUGCAUCAUCAUCUUCAAACAACACGUACUCUGCCCAGUAAAAGACAAUGGCAAGAGGGAAGGGAUUGUAUUUGGUAACAGAGCCUUUUAAAAUGGAGGAGACAAAAUCAUUGGAUUUAUUGGGGCGUAGGUAACGGUACCCUACCAUGUGACUAUCCCAGGGCUCAUGCCCCAUGCACAGGAAGUCAAAACCAACCAAGAGCAAAGAGCCAUCACAGGAUUCGAACUCUGAUUCCAAUUUGAUGACACGAUUUUUCUUCCCCAGGGACAGAAUCGAUUGGGCAAACUGUCUGAACUUCCAGUUGAUGUUUAAAAUACCUCCUCUCCUCCAAAUCACGUAAGAAGGUCUUCACAUUGUGAGAGUCUGACAAUGGGUAAGUAAGUCAACAGCCAAGGGCAGCUCUUUGGAAUUUUCCUUUAACAUCUGGAGGAAGCAAAAGAUGUGUUAGUCAGGGUCCAUGUGCAGCUUCCAGAAUGGCCACUGCCUUGCACUCUGGCCUUGCCCAGGUUCCGGGGUGCAGAUGUGUCCAGCUCAUUUUGGAGGACCCUUGCUCUGUCUGGUCCAUGGCUUUGUAAUGAUUCAUGCCCAAGAGUUCUGGACCGAGACCAUCUACAUUCAAGCGUUGACACUGGUCACCUCCAGCGACCUCAGAUGGAGAUGUUUUGCUUAGGUCUUGAUCUUUCAGGGGAAGAAAAUGAGGACAUCAUCAAAGAGAUGUAUGUGAGAUUUCCGAAUUUAACUGUUUCCAUAUCCUGCUUCUUCUUUUUGCCUUUUUGGAGCAUUUGCUUCUGACCAGUAAUAUAUUCAAAUAAGCAUUUCUAAGCAGCACCCUAUACUGUACAUAUGGAAUGCAGUAUAUGGAAUCCGCUAUUCAAAUAAGCAUCUCUAAGUAGCACCCUCUACUGUAUACAUGGAGUACAGUAUAUGCAAUACAGUGAGAUUUAAAAAAAAGCAAGCCUGGGAGUUCCCAUCGCGGCUUCGCAGGUUACGAACCCAGCUAGUAUCCAUGAGGAUGUGCGUUUGAUCCCUGGCCUUGCUCAGUGGGCCAAGGAUCCAGAGUUGCCACAAGCUGUGGUGUAGGUUGCAGACAUGGCAUAGACCUGGCAUUGCUGUGGUGUAGACUGGCAGCUGAAGCUCUGAUUCGACCCUUAGCCCAGGCACGUCCAUUUGCCACAGGUGUGGUAAUAAAAAGGAAAAAAAAAAGCCUCA
rnacentral:lncRNA from 1 species